AGGGCACCACCAGGAGUGGAGCCUGCGGCUUAAUUUGACUCAACACGGGAAACCUCACCAGGCCCAGACACCGGGAGGAUUGACAGAUUGAGAGCUCUUUCUUGAUUCGGUGGGUGGUGGUGCAUGGCCGUUCUUAGUUGGUGGAGCGAUUUGUCUGGUUAAUUCCGAUAACGAACGAGACUCUAGCCUGCUAAAUAGUCGCAUCCGGUAUCCUCUGUGCUACCGGCGACCACCAAUCUUCUUAGAGGGACAGGCGGCUUCUAGCCGCACGAGAUUGAGCAAUAACAGGUCUGUGAUGCCCUUAGAUGUCCUGGGCCGCACGCGCGCUACACUGAAGGAAUCAGCGUGUCCUCCCUGGCCGAAAGGUCCGGGCAACCCGCUGAACCUCCUUCGUGCUAGGGAUUGGGGCCUGCAAUUGUUCCCCAUGAACGAGGAAUUCCCAGUAAGCGCGAGUCAUAAGCUCGCGUUGAUUACGUCCCUGCCCUUUGUACACACCGCCCGUCGCUACUACCGAUUGAA
rnacentral:rRNA from 1 species